CUCAAGUCUUAAAAAAAAAGCUAAAUUAACUAAAUUCUCACUAACCACUCAUUAACAAUGCACACCAGUGGUUACCAACUGCACUUUUCUAUUUUAUUCUGUUAAAACAUUAAAUUAAAACACUUACUUUGGUGCACAGUCAUGAUUACCAAUUGCACUAUUUUACUUUAUUCAGUUAAAAUAUUAAGAUACUCAUGUAAAUCAGCUAGACAAACACCUACCAUUGUACUCCCUAGAGAAAUACCAAACCACAUAGAUACAGUCCAUCCAUACUACAUCUAUAUUUGCAUCUAUCUGUAUCAAACACACACACACACACACACAAGCUGAGUGUGGGAGGUGUGCCCAACGCAAUAUAAAACAAAUGGAACCAAAUGAAGCCAAAAAAUAACAAAAACAGGUAACAUCUCUUUUACAACAACAUAGCCGCCACACGUGGAUGGAUGUCUGACACGUUCUACCAACAUGGGUGUGCAGUGGGUAGCACUGUCUGGAGUUCCCGGUGCCUGGUUUGAGUCCCGGCUGAGCCAGGACACCAUUCUGUGUGGAGUUUGCAUGUUCUCCCCGUGUCUGCGUGGGUUUCCUCCGGGUGCUCUGGUUUCCCCCACAAUCCAAAGACCUGCAGUAAGAGCUUUUGGAUAUUGGUGUGCACUUUUCCAACAAUUUUAUCACCAAUCCUCAACUCAUGCCUGAGAUCUCCAGAACACCUGAGGCUACGCACUCUACCCGGCCGGGCGGAAGUGCUCACAGGUGGCGUCAAGAUCGUAAACAAAGGCGGCGGAAGCGUGGAUGGCUAAGCACUAAGCUAAAACUAACACAGCUCCGGCUCUCUUUCCCCAGCAUUUUCCUCGCUAAUGUGCGGUCACUGGUGAACAGAAUGAACAAGUUAUGACUUCGCAUCACCCACAGUAAGAGACUUUCAGAUUGCAAUGUCAUGGUUUUCACAGAAACAUGACUACACAGUGACGUACCCAAUAAUGCUAUUGAGCUAGCCAGACGCUACACACUCCAGACAGAUAGGACAGCAGAUGACUCCGGCAAAACAAGAGGUGGUGGAUUGUGCAUUUAUGUUAACAAAGCUUGGUGUACGAACACUGUUAUUGUUGGGAGACACUGCU
ensembl:lncRNA